AUUCUUAUCAGGUUCAGAUGCUUGAAUCUUCUUCUGCUGCUGUUUUGUCUCGUCUAUCACAGCGGUCAGUGUACUUUAUGUUUAUAAACUGUAUUUAUUAUUGGUUUUCAGCGUCAGCUAGAGUUAUUCUAGUGAAUUAUUUCUCUGUUGUGUCACUCAACCAAGACUUUUGUUGACAUUUGUGGAUUGAUGUGGAAAUUUUCAAUGGUUUAUCAUGCAGUUCAGUUCAUUUAUUAAUAAACAUUGUUCAGGAAUUCAUUAAACUGCACUUGUACAUCUGCUACAGCUUUAUAUUAUUUUGUAUCAUAAUUUGAAAUGUUAAAAUGUGUUGCUGCUAAUAUUGCUCGCUCUUAUUUAUACUUAAAUCUAUUUUUUAUAACAAAUAUCUGGUUGCUGCAAAGAAACUCACUUUUUUUGUGUUGUGUUUAUUAUUAUAAACAAUUGCUGUCCUUUUUGGUAAGAACAGGAAAGAGUUGAAACUCAGUUGUUUGUAAGGUAAAGCUCUGGGAGCUGCAUUUAGACUUCUGACUGAAUCUGCUGUUUUCUGUUCAUUCAUGAACCAGAUCUCAUUAGUCAUUAGUGCUUGAGAUUGAGCAUUUAAUGAUUUUAUUUCAUGUAGAGACGAUGAAGUAACCUGAGGUUGAGAGUCUAGAUGAAGAGCACAAAGACAAAAUAGAUCAUGUCUCUGAUGAGCAAUGAACAUCCUUAAUAUUUACAUUCAUUUCUGAUGUUAAAUAUUAGAGAAACUCCUCCAUCAAUUCACAGUUGAUGAAUCCACUUAGAUUUGUAAUGAAAUAUCUUGAGUAAAAGAAAAUACAGCUAAAUUAACUCUAUUAGAAUAUUUUAUAAUAACAUUAAUCACUGAGAACAGAAUGAAACACGUGUAUUUUUCAGUAUUGACACUUUAAAUUGAAUAUUAUUGAAUUUCAUUGUAUGUAUUUGCAGGAAACACAUCUUUAUAUGUGUCAGGAGAAAAGGGAGGAAACGUCACACUAACAUGUGAACAUGAGGCCAAAAAUUUUGUUCACAUUGAGUUAUUCAGUGAGUCAGGAGACAUAGAUGUGUGUCAGACUGAAGAAUGUAGUGGACGAGUGUUUAAAGAAGGAAACUGUGACGUCGUCAUCAAGAAUCUGAGCUUCAGUGACGCUGGGAAAUACUUUUUGAGAAUCUAUUACAAUAAUGAUCAGACGGAGCUGGAGCGACAAAUCAGGCCGUACCAACUUCAUAUUCAUGAUGAGAUUUCUGUGAAAACAGGCGAGGAGCUAAAGAUGUCUGUUCUGUUGUCUAAUGCUGAUAAAGUGGAGACAAACUCUAGUGGAGAGUGGAAGGAGGUUUGGAGCAGAACUGAUGGGGUUCAGAGCGAUCGAAUGAAUGAAACUGAUGAAAACCUGAUCAUUAAAUCGUUUUUGGACAGAGAUGCAGGAACAUACAGAGUUCUGGACUCUGAAGGAGAAAUCUUGAUCACAGUCACAAUCACAGAAUCAAAGGAAAAACUGGACACUGGACAACACAGUAAGUCACACAGGCAUUGA
ensembl:lncRNA